AAGUCGUAACAAGGUCUCCGUUGGUGAACCAGCGGAGGGAUCAUUACAGAGUUGCAAAACUCCCAACCCUUUGUGAAUCAACUAGACAGUUGCCUCGGCGGGAGGCCCUUCAGGGGGCUGCCCGCCGGAGGACCACCAAACUCUUGUAUUUUUGGCCUCUGAGUAAUUCUAAAAUGAAUCAAAACUUUCAACAACGGAUCUCUUGGUUCUG
rnacentral:misc_RNA from 1 species